rnacentral:rRNA from 1 species
AUUGAACGCUGGCGGCAUGCCUUACACAUGCAAGUCGAACGGCAGCGCGGACUUCGGUCUGGCGGCGAGUGGCGAACGGGUGAGUAAUACAUCGGAACGUACCCUGUUGUGGGGGAUAACUAGUCGAAAGAUUAGCUAAUACCGCAUACGACCUGAGGGUGAAAGUGGGGGACCGCAAGGCCUCACGCAGCAGGAGCGGCCGAUGUCUGAUUAGCUAGUUGGUGGGGUAAAGGCCCACCAAGGCGACGGUCAGUAGCUGGUCUGAGAGGACGAUCAGCCACACUGGGACUGAGACACGGCCCAGACUCCUACGGGAGGCAGCAGUGGGGAAUUUUGGACAAUGGGGGCAACCCUGAUCCAGCAAUGCCGCGUGUGUGAAGAAGGCCUUCGGGUUGUAAAGCACUUUUGUCCGGAAAGAAAUCGCGCUGGUUAAUACCUGGCGUGGAUGACGGUACCGGAAGAAUAAGCACCGGCUAACUACGUGCCAGCAGCCGCCGCAGUAA